UGAAAGUUGAAAGAUCUUUCUCUCAAAUUUUCUAAACAAUUCAUUGAUAGCCAUAGACCUUCUCAAUUAUUGCUCAACUCAUUUUAAAAAUGACCACUUUGUGAUUCUAUCAAAAUCUUUAUCAUAAAAUACAUCUUUCAAUCUUCCUUCAAAGUCACUCAAAGCCUCUAAAUUAUCUCCAUACAAAUCCGUCAUUGACUUCCUAAUUUCAAGAAUGCAUGCCAACUCAAAACUAGGAAUAUAGCAAGAUUUGGAGACUUGAUAUUCCUCUAUCUCUCCUAUAUAUGCUUGGAAAAGAUUAGUAAUGUUCUUCCUAUAGAACUUUGCAUGGUUGUUAUCUACACCUUAUAAUGCAUUGAUUAUCAUCUUUUCACUGACUUAUAUUUUUUGUUGUCUCUCUAUAAGUAUAUUCAAAGCCAAGAGCAAAU
rnacentral:lncRNA from 1 species